CGUGUAGGCGGCUGAAUAAGUCAGAUGUGAAAUCCCUGGGCUUAACCCAGGAAGUGCAUUUGAAACUAUUCAGCUUGAGUAGGGGAGAGGAAAGUGGAAUUCCUGGUGUAGAGGUGAAAUUCGUAGAUAUCAGGAGGAACACCGGUGGCGAAGGCGACUUCUGGCCCUAUACUGACGCUGAGACGCGAGAGCGUGGGUAGCAAACA
rnacentral:rRNA from 1 species